GACGAACGCUGGCGGCGUGCUUAACACAUGCAAGUCGAACGGAAAGGCCCUGCUUGCUGGGUGCUCGAGUGGCGAACGGGUGAGUAACACGUGGGUGAUCUGCCUUGCACUUCGGGAUAAGUUUGGGAAACUGGGGCUACUACCGGGUAGGAGCCAUCUUGAGUGUGGUGGUGGGAGAGUUUUUUCGGUGUAGGCUGUGCGCGCGGCCUAUCAGCUUGUUGGUGGGGUGAUGGCCUAUCACGGCGGCGACGGGUAGCCGGCCGGUGAGCGGGUACGGCCACAUUGGAACUGAGGAACGGCCCACACUCCGACGUGCUGCAGCAGUGAGGAAUAUUGCACCAUGGGCGCUAGCCUGAUGCAGCAAGGCCCCGUGGGGGGUGAAGGCCUUCGGGUUGUAGACUGCAAUAGCUUGUGACGAGGCACUGUUGUGACGGUACCUGGAGAAGAAGCCCCGGCUAACUACGUG
rnacentral:rRNA from 1 species